AACCGCCGUAUGCGGAACCGCACGUACGGUGGUGUGAGAGGACAGGUAGCCAAUUAAUGGUUACCUUCCUACUCGAU
rnacentral:ncRNA from 1 species